rnacentral:misc_RNA from 1 species
UUCUAUCCCCGAUGGAAGCGGCACCCCGCGAUGAUAUAUGUCAUGAAUUUUAUGCAAGUUUUUCUCAAUCGCUGAUAGAGCGGACAGCGGGACGGGUU